rnacentral:piRNA from 1 species
CAGAAUGGCGUGCUUGUUGACAAUGGCU